rnacentral:rRNA from 1 species
CCUACGGGAGGCAGCAGUGAGGAAUAUUGGUCAAUGGGCGUGAGCCUGAACCAGCCAAGUAGCGUGAAGGAUGACUGCCCUACGGGUUGUAAACCUCUUUUAUAAAGGAAUAAAGUUAUCCACGUGUGGCUUUUUGUAGGUAUUUUAUGAAUAAGGAUCGGCUAAUUCCGUGCCAGCAGCCGCGGUAAUACGGAGGAUCCGAGCGUUAUCCGGAUUUAUUGGGUUUAAAGGGAGCGUAGAUCGGUUUUUAAGCCUGUUGUGAAAGUUUGCGGCUCAACCAUAAAAUUGCGAUUGAUACUGGCAGCCUUGAGUGCAGUUGAGGUAGGCGGAAUUCGUGGUGUAGCGGUGAAAUGCUUAGAUAUCACGAAGAACUCCGAUUGCGAAGGCAGCCUACUAAAGCGUCACUGACAUUGAUGCUCGAAAGUGUGGGUAUCAAACAGGAUUAGAUACCCUUGUAGUC